ensembl:lncRNA
GAGGUUUGCAUACUUGAGCUAAUGAAAGAGGGUUGUACUAGAAAUGCAAACAGUAAAAUUUUGUGAUUGUACAGUAAACAGGUUGUGUGUGAGAUCAUGAAGACUUGAAUUUGGCUAAUUCAGUACUCAAAUGUUAUACCUAUCUAUGCAAUACAGUGGGAAUACUGCAAUAAGUUUAGUAUAUGACCCCAUUUAUCAUACGACUCUUUUACCAGGCGUUUUGAAGGCAGAUCAACGUUCGCAACGAAAAAAUAUGUGCAAACUGUAAUGAAGAAGAGAUCAGGUAGUUCCUCACUAUCCGCACUGAAGCUGAGAUCGUUCGCUAGUUUAUGUAAAAGUUAACAUGCCUAGCGUUUUCGACUUGUGCAUUACACGUCACAUCCUGAUGUCACGUGUCAUUACGGGACCUUUAAGGCCAAUUUAUACUGCUGCGUCGAGUGUACGCCGUAAAGUACGUCGUAGGCUACGCACGUAGGCGACGCCGUCGUGAGCAUUUAUACUUCUGCGUAUGUCUGUAUGGCUCUUCAGUUACAUCGCCGAAACACUAGUUGACGCGAGCGGGUUCCACUGUGUUUACAGUCCACGAAUUCGCUGCCGUCUGGCAGUCUUUGUAAUCUCCUGAAGAGGAGUCAUACAGAUGGCUGUAUUUUCUCACUUCUUCAAUUAAUCUCUCGGGUCACUUGGUCCUUUUCCAUGUUGGCUCUUCACUGAAUUUCGAAAUUUAAAAAUGGCGGGCGGUCCAGAGUGCAGAAGAUCAUUCCGGAAAUGCGUAGGAGGAAACGUGAUACUACCAAGCCGACCAAUCACAGAUCUUGCAGUCCGCGUCGUCGCGACGCGUAGUUAAAUUUUUGCGGAGGUGCGCGUCAGGGUACGGCGAAGGGUACGACGUAUGGUACACGUCAAUGUGUAUGCUACGCCGUACCUACUACGCGCACCCGACGCAGAAGUAUAAAUUGGCCUUUACAGGUUGUGUGUGAACGCACGCACAGAUUCCGGGAAAUCACUGGCAGUGUGAAUGAACUAAAAUCUAAGGAUCCGGGAAUAAUUGCCGGGAAACAUUACCCGUAUUAUCUGGAAUCUCAGUGUGAAAGGGGCUAUAGAAUGUAAAAAAAGAUAGACGACGCACCUUCAUUCACUUCCAUUGAAGAAAAGUGAAGCCGCCAUUGUCCCAAUAGGGCACGGCCAUAUUGCGCUGAUUUGGGACCAGAGUCUGCGCAGUAGCGAACUCGGGACCAGAGUCUGCUCAGUAGAGAGCGAAGUGGAGCCGC